GCCGAAAUGGCGGAAUUGGCAGACGCGCAGGCUUCAGGUGCCUGUGACCCUUGGGUCGUGGGGGUUCAACUCCCCCUUUCGGCACCA
rnacentral:tRNA from 2 species